GAUGAACGCUAGCUACAGGCUUAACACAUGCAAGUCGAGGGGUAACGAGAGGAAAGCUUGCUUUCCUUGUCGACGACCGGCGCACGGGUGAGUAACGCGUAUCCAACCUGCCCCCAACUAAGGAAUAACCUUGCGAAAGUAAGACUAAUACCUUAUACUUUCCUCAGAUGUCAUCUGACGAGGAAUAAAGAUUUAUCGGUUGUGGAUGGGGAUGCGUCUGAUUAGCUUGUUGGCGGGGUAACGGCCCACCAAGGCAACGAUCAGUAGGGGUUCUGAGAGGAAGGUCCCCCACUGGAACUGAGACACGGUCCAAACUCCUACGGGAGGCAGCAGUGAGGAAUAUUGGUCAAUGGGCGGAAGCCUGAACCAGCCAAGUAGCGUGCAGGAUGACGGCCCUAUGGGUUGUAAACUGCUUUUAUACAGGAAUAAAGUUAGCCACGUGUGGUUAUUUGUAGGUACUGUAUGAAUAAGGACCGGCUAAUUCCGUGCCAGCCGCCGCGGUAA
rnacentral:rRNA from 1 species